GGAGGAAAGCAGGGGAUCGCAAGACCUCGCGCUCUUGGAGCGGCCGAUGUCGGAUUAGCUAGUUGGUGAGGUAAAGGCUCACCAAGGCGACGAUCCGUAGCUGGUCUGAGAGGAUGAUCUGCCACACUGGGACUGAGACACGGCCCAGACUCCUACGGGAGGCAGCAGUGGGGAAUUUUGGACAAUGGGGGCAACCCUGAUCCAGCCAUGCCGCGUGAGUGAAGAAGGCCUUCGGGUUGUAAAGCUCUUUCGGCGGGGAAGAAAUGGCAACGGCUAAUAUCCGUUGUUGAUGACGGUACCCGCAUAAGAAGCACCGGCUAACUACGUGCCAGCAGCCGCGGUAAUACGUAGGGUGCGAGCGUUAGUCGGAAUUACUGGGCGUAAAGCGUGCGCAGGCGGUUUCGUAAGACAGACGUGAAAUCCCCGGGCUCAACCUGGGAACUGCGUUUGAAACUACAAGGCUAG
rnacentral:rRNA from 1 species